rnacentral:lncRNA from 1 species
AAGUUUCUCCCCUGUUAAGGGGAACUACGUUGCCCUGAUCCUCAUACCAGAUGAGGUACGUAGGCAGGAGAUCGUGCGAGAUCUCUCCGGGCACCCUUUUUCUUUUUGUGUGUGUUUGCUUGACAGUUAUUAGGCUUGAGUUCCAGACUCCCUUUUAGCUUGUCUUUUUGAUAACCUCUUGUGUGUGGGUGUGGAGUCUGAUGUAAGUCCAGCGAUUGGCAUUCGGUUUCCUUGUU